rnacentral:rRNA from 1 species
UACGGGGGGAGCAAGCGUUGUUCGGAUUUACUGGGCGUAAAGGGCGCGUAGGCGGCCUCUGCAAGUCGACUGUGAAAUCUCCGGGCUUAACCCGGAACGGUCAGCCGAUACUGCAGGGCUAGAGUGCAGAGGGGGCAACCGGAAUUCUCGGUGUAGCGGUGAAAUGCGUAGAUAUCGAGAGGAACACCUGCGGCGAAGGCGGGUUGCUGGGCUGACACUGACGCUGAGGCGCGAAAGCUAGGGGAGCGAACGGG